GAUGAACGCUGGCGGCGUGCCUAAUACAUGCAAGUCGAGCGAACAGACGAGGAGCUUGCUCCUCUGACGUUAGCGGCGGACGGGUGAGUAACACGUGGAUAACCUACCUAUAAGACUGGGAUAACUUCGGGAAACCGGAGCUAAUACCGGAUAAUAUAUUGAACCGCAUGGUUCAAUAGUGAAAGACGGUUUUGCUGUCACUUAUAGAUGGAUCCGCGCCGCAUUAGCUAGUUGGUAAGGUAACGGCUUACCAAGGCAACGAUGCGUAGCCGACCUGAGAGGGUGACAGGCCAAAGUGGGACGGAGAUACGGCCCAGACCCCUACGGGAGGCAGGAGUGGGGAAUAGUGAAAAAUGGGUGGAAGGCAGAUGCAGAAACGCCGCGUGCGGGAUGACGGCCUUCGGGUUGGAAACAGAUUUCGCAGGUGAAGAAGCGUGAGUGACGGUAAUUAGUAAAGAAGCACCGGCUAACUACGUG
rnacentral:rRNA from 1 species